rnacentral:rRNA from 1 species
UAGUCCACGCCGUAAACGAUGUCAACUAGCUGUUGGGAUUUAUCUUAGUAGCGAAGCUAACGCGAUAAGUUGACCGCCUGGGGAGUACGCGCGCAAGCGUAAAACUCAAAGGAAUUGACGGGGCCCGCACAAGCGGUGGAGCAUGUGGUUUAAUUCGAUGAUACGCGAGGAACCUUACCAGGGCUUAAAUGUAAGUUGCAUUAGUUAGAGAUAGCUAUUUCUUCGGACUACUUACAAGGUGUUGCAUGGUUGUCGUCAGCUCGUGCCGUGAGGUGUCAGGUUAAGUCCUAUAACGAGCGCAACCCCUAUCGUUAGUUGCUAACAGGUUAAGUUGAGGACUCUAGCGAGACUGCCGGUGCAAACCGAGAGGAAGGUGGGGAUGACGUCAAAUCAUCACGGGCCCUUACGUCCUGGGGCUACACACGUGCUACAAUGGUCGGUACAGAGGGGCAGCCACUACGCGAGUAGGAGCGAAUCCUUAAAACCG